UACGUCCUUAUGGAGAAAGAUUUAUCGGAGAUGGAUGAGCCCGCGUUGGAUUAGCUAGUUGGUGGGGUAAUGGCCUACCAAGGCGACGAUCCAUAGCUGGUCUGAGAGGAUGAUCAGCCACACUGGGACUGAGACACGGCCCAGACUCCUACGGGAGGCAGCAGUGGGGAAUAUUGGACAAGGGGCGCAAGCCUGAUCCAGCCAUGCCGCGUGAGUGAAAAGGGCCCUAGGGUUGUAAAGCUCUUCAACGGGAAG
rnacentral:rRNA from 1 species